rnacentral:rRNA from 1 species
UACGUAGGGAGCAAGCGUUGUCCGGAAUCAUUGGGCGUAAAGCGCGCGUAGGCGGCCUUGUAAGUCCGUUGUGAAAGUCAAAGGCUCAACCUUUGAAAGCCGAUGGAUACUGCAAGGCUGGAGUCCGGAAGAGGCGAGUGGAAUUCCUGGUGUAGCGGUGGAAUGCGCAGAUAUCAGGAGGAACACCAAUAGCGAAGGCAGCUCGCUGGGACGGUACUGACGCUGAGACGCGAAAGCGUGGGGAGCGAACAGG